GACGAACGCUGGCGGCGUGCUUAACACAUGCAAGUCGAACGGAAAGGCCCUGCUUUUGUGGGGUGCUCGAGUGGCGAACGGGUGAGUAACACGUGAGUAACCUGCCCUUGACUUUGGGAUAACUUCAGGAAACUGGGGCUAAUACCGGAUAGGAGCUCCUGCUGCAUGGUGGGGGUUGGAAAGUUUCGGCGGUUGGGGAUGGACUCGCGGCUUAGGAGCUUGUUGGUGGGGUAGUGGGUUACCAAGGCUAUGGCCGGUAGCCGGCGUGAGAGGGUGGUCGGCCACCUUGGAGGUGAGCCACGGUCCUGAGUCCUACGGGAGGCAGCAGAGUGGAAUAGUGGACAACAGGGGCGAGCAUGAUCCAGCGAUACCGCGUGGGUGAAGAAGGCGUUCGGGGUGUGAAGACGUCUUGUGGGUUGAGAAAAGCAUCAGGUUAAUACGAAGCGUUUGUGACGGUAACCAGAGAAGAAGCACCGGCUAACUUCGUG
rnacentral:rRNA from 1 species